rnacentral:tRNA from 2 species
CCGCCUGUGGGCCGCGGCCCGGGCCGGUGAGCUCCGGCCUCGCCCUGCCGGACCGUUUCCGCGAGGCGGCC